GACCCAGAUGGGAUCUCUGGGACACCCUGCCUGCUCUACAAUUGGGAUCCCUGGAAAAGUGACAGAAUCUGGCAACAGGGGCCUGCUCUGUCGCCCAGGCUGGAGUGCAGUGGCACAAACACAGCGGACUGCAGCCUUGACCUCCCAGGCUCAUGCAACCCUCCCACCUCGGCCUCUCAAGAAACUGGGACCACAGGCACGUGCCAUCAUACCUGGCCAAUUUUUCAGUUUUUUUGUAGAGAUGGGGUCCCCUGUAUUGCUCAGGCUGGUCUCAAACUCCUGGGCUCAAGUGAUCCUCCUGUCUUGGUUUCCCAAAGUGCUGGGAUUGCAGGUGUGAGCUACUGCACCCGGCCCAAUAAAAAAAUCUCGUUCUGUGAAAGAAAUGUUU
ensembl:lncRNA IKBKB-DT IKBKB divergent transcript